rnacentral:rRNA from 1 species
AGUGAACGCUGGCGGUAGGCCUAACACAUGCAAGUCGAACGGCAGCACAGUAAGAGCUUGCUCUUACGGGUGGCGAGUGGCGGACGGGUGAGGAGUACAUCGGAAUCUACUUUUUCGUGGGGGAUAACGUAGGGAAACUUACGCUAAUACCGCAUACGACCUACGGGUGAAAGCAGGGGAUCUUCGGACCUUGCGCGAUUGAAUGAGCCGAUGUCGGAUUAGCUAGUUGGCGGGGUAAAGGCCCACCAAGGCGACGAUCCGUAGCUGGUCUGAGAGGAUGAUCAGCCACACUGGAACUGGGACACGGUCCAGACUCCUACGGGAGGCAGCAGUGGGGAAUAUUGGACAAUGGGCGCAAGCCUGAUCCAGCCAUACCGCGUGGGUGAAGAAGGCCUUCGGGUUGUAAAGCCCUUUUGUUGGGAAAGAAAAGCAGCAGGUUAAUACCCCGCUGUUCUGACGGUACCCAAAGAAUAAGCACCGGCUAACUUCGUG